rnacentral:lncRNA from 1 species
CGAUGGUGCAGAAGUGGUCUUUCCUUGGGGAGCUGGGAGUGUGUGAACACACACGCUGUGUGCUCUUUCCCUCUUUAUCCCCAAAAGCAUUUAGGAUUUAGGACAGCUCCUGGUCCAGUGGGUCACAGACCGGGCAACCAAGCCUGCAUCACCGUGAGGUCAGCCCAGGAACAGGGACCUCCACGUGGCCGUUGUAGCCCUGGACGUGAUUCUCUCCAGGGAAAGAGGAGAGAAGCAGGCUGGGCCCCAGCACAUAGGAGGCGACAAGAGGGAGAAGAAGCCAUGGGGACUGAGAAGAAGCAGCGAGGUUGUUGGGACAACGAUGACCCAGAGCCCACGGGGAGACCAGUUCAAGGGGAGAGUGUCAGCAGUGUCGACAGCAGAGGGGGCGGGAUGGGCGGACCCCUUUCUCCCGGGCUGGCAGUAACAGGACUUGGUCUGCUUGGUGAGAAGCUACAGCACAGGCGAUGGCAGGGGGCGAGGGGACGAGUGGCCCUGAGUGGCCCUACGCCUUCUUGCUGAGUCGGUCAAGAACGAGAGACCUGACGGCUCUUUGCUUGGUGGCCAACACAGGGUCGUGUUUGCAGCAAGAAGCCUCGAGGGAUGAGGGACGCCCACCCCAGGACACGGAGCAGUAGGUUCCCAGCGUGGCGCUCCCGGGCGGCCAUGCAAACCCGCUCUGGGAGUCCUGUCAGCCUCCCAGCCACCUGAGGACUCGGGGCUGAGCUUGGACACAGCGUUAUAAUAAGGCGAGACCCCAGCUGCCGACGAAGGGGAAGAGAGCUGGGAGUGAGGCGGUCUCUUUCCACUGGAGCUGUCACCUCCUGGCCCUCGACUGUGACGGCAACAGAGAGGAGGCAGUGACAAGAACGGGCACGCCCCCCGACAAAUUCUUUGAGAAGUGGACACACACUUCCUCCUCCUCUUCUCUUCCCUCCUGUUAUUUGUUUGUUUUGUUUAACGAUUCACGCUCAGCUCACUUCUGUUGCCAAUCUUCCUCUUUUGUUUUUUUCCUGCCCAAAGCCCGGGUACAUGGUUGUAUGUCUAGUUGUAGGUUACUCUACGUGAGCUGCUGCCACAGCAUGGCAACUGACAGGCGGGGGGUGUGGUUCCCCCAGCGCCGAACUUUAACCACGAGGCCAUCAGGGCUGGCUCCUCUCUCCUGUUAUUUAAAGAGGUGUCAGCCCCAUUCCACAGCCUCAGUGGGGAAGGGAAAAUUC